UGACAUUUUGGGCCUCAAUACCCAUAUACCUUACCUAUGCCAUCUGGUGACAGCGAGAUGAAAACCCUGAUGUCAAAGGAGCUAAUUAAAACCCUGGUAACUAAGGAGUGAGAGGACAUAUCUUGUGUAAUCUUUGCUAUUAUUUCUUGCUGUUAUAUCUUGUUAUUAUCUGCUUUCUCGCAGAGAGAGAGAGAGGACUUCAACACUAUGGCUAGAGGUUCAGGGCGACUAGUCACACCAAACCUCUCAGACCACCGCAUUGAAGGGCGUUGCAGCCCCAAACAGGGAGGAGUCCAUCAGGAGACAUAACCAAACCAGCGUUCUGUCCAGCUGGAGUGUGGACACAGAGGGGAUGAGGUUCUUCAAUCAUCCAGCCCAGGCUGCUCAUAGUAAUAGCACCACUUCCAUCAUGCACACAGUAACUGCCACAACUGGAGGACCUCAAGGUUGAAAGAGGUACAACUUUGGCUUUGAGUCACAUCAGAAAGAUUGUGCCUCUGGCAAUGUGAUACCCGCUGAUACUAUGCUGUGCAUCAGCUCAUUCAUGACUCAAAGAGAAGAGCGCAACACUCUUACUGAAUCACCAGAGCUGUUCAUUUUGUGGGUAAAGUAGGUGCAGUUGAGGUGAAAUUCACUUCUGUGCAAGGGACUGGCACAAGAUUCACUUAAACCCAAUUUAAACCCUAAAUGGAGGACUCAGCUCUUAUACAAAUCCUUUAAGCAGGUGUGAGCUUCACCGUCAAUGGAGUAUGAGCAUAUAUAUAUGCUCAUUUUAUGUAUAUAUAUAUAUAUAUAUAUAUAUAUAUAUAUAUAAAAAGAAUAAAAUGUCAACUCAAUAUAGAUUUUCAUAGAAUCAUAGAAAGUAAGGGUUGAAGGGACCUGAGGAGGUCAUCUAAUCCAACCCCCUGCUCAAAGCAGGACUGUCCCCAACUAAAUGAUCCCAGCCAAGGCUUUGUCUAGCUGGGUUUUGAAAACCACCAAGGAUGGAGCUUCCACCACCUCUCUGGGUAACUUGCUCCAGUGUUUUAUUACCCUCCUACUGAGAAAAGUCUUCCUAAUAUCCAACUUAAACUGCCCUUGCUGCAACUUGAGACCAUUGCUCCUUGUCCUGUCAUCUGCCACCACUGAGACCAGUCCAGCUCCAUCCUCUUUGGAUCCCCCCUGCAGGGAGUUGGAGGCUGCUGUUAAAUCCCACCUCAGUCUUCUCGAGACCAAAUAAACCCAGUUCUCUCAGCCUCUCCUCACCAUUUUUGUCACCAUCAUUUUCCCCGCUGUCUUUGUAUGGAAAGUUCCUCAAUUACAACAUUUGUUUCUGUAACAAAGUCCUUUACCUACCUGAUUUUAUGACUAUAAACCAGCAGCUGUGGUGUGGGUUUAAUGUUUAGUUAGGAAAUUGAAUAUGCAGUGCAUGUAAGGCAGUGAUUCUCAAUCAGGGUGCUGUGGCACCUUGGCGUGCCUUAAGAUCCUUUCAAGAGGUCUACGCAGUAUUAGUACUGUUAGCUAUAUGAGCAGGAUUGACAAGAUAAAGCUGGAGAUUUCCAAUGGGAAUCCAGAGUGUUAAUUUUUUUGUGACCUGCCAUGGUCUUUCUGAAUUCUUUGCAACAGAAAAAUUGCUCUUUUAUUGUUCCAUAGUCAAAAAGCAAAUGAUAAUUAAGAGCUGAUCUUUUCUGAGGGGUGCCUGGAGUCUAAAAAGCAUGAUAAGCCCUGACCUAAGGUUAUUGGUUCUCUAAAAAAUAUUUGCGGGUGAAUUUAUUUCUCGUGACAGUGAAGUUUAAGUAGCAAUGACUAGAUUAAAGUACGGACUCGAGUCAGUCAAAGGCACAGGCUGGUUCAAGGUGUCCCAGGCAGCUCUGCCAACGCACCUGCCUUCACUCUCAGUGCAAUGCACCCUCCAUAGUCUGCCAUUCCCUCCCAGACACAGACAGCUCAUCAGGCUGAAUUAUGUUAGGUGACGUGACGGUCUCCACUACAAGAAGAACCUCCCACAAAAUUCAUUGUAGCGACCAAAUUAGGAUUUGUUCCAGUAUGUUAGAGGGUAACAGUUAACCACGCACCAGCCGAAACCGGUGGCUCUACUGAAACCAGGCUUUACAAACAUAUAGCCUGCCACAUUUCAUGCAGGCGGGUCCGUUUUCAAACAGGCCAAGUCAAUGCUAUUACAUUUUCAAACAAAGUAAUUGCACUUUCUCUUGCCCGUCUUACUCUUUGAAACACUGGGGGGCUUGGCAAAGGAGGACUGAAGGAAGGGACAUCUUCCCGGGCAGUGACAGACACCUAGGAAAACCAAAAAGAAAAUAUUAGUUACCUGAGUGCCAAUGUUCAGCAACAACGGCAUCAAAAUGUCCAGAGCAUGUACUUCUCUUUGAGAACUUGGUAGCAAGCCCAGCAAGGUUGUUAACAAGAUUCCUACUGGAUAUAGUAUAUACUUAUUAUAUGCACUGCCCAUUUGUAGCCAAACUUGCUUGUAUGGCCUAAUGAAGAGAAGCACAGUGGUGGGGUGUGUGGGGCACUGGGUUGGGACUCCCAGCUCAUUCACAGACCUGCUGGGUGACUUUGGCCAAGUCACUCGAGCCUUCUGCCCCUUUUUCUUCUCCAUUAUCCCUUUUUUUUCCUUAUGUGUUUGGACUAACAUCCCUGGGUCUGGAGCUCUCUCCUACUUUAUGGGUAAGUACAGCAAAUAAUAGCACUCUGAAUCUCAACUGGGGGGCUCUAGGUCUUGCACAAGGAAGAGAACGACAAUGAUGACGAUGACACUUUUCCCAAAGCAUUGGGAGUCAAGUGUCAAUUCUCAGAUGACAACUGAGAUUGAGCCGCAGGAAGCAUUUGGGAGCGCCUCCAUUGCUCGGCAGGCAGGUACAAUCUACGUAGUUCUUUCAAUUCCUUUCCUCACCCGAGCGCAAAACACGUACCCAGCUCCAUCCCUGACUACCCUUAGGGGUCCAUCCACAUCAGCCACGAGUGGAACAAAACCUACAAGCGUGUCACCUCAGAGCUGACCCUCAAUUGUCCGGCAUGUUAUAAUCGCUGAUAACUGCAUCCAUCACAAUCAUCGCACUGAAGCCGUGUACUUCUACCAUUCAAUUUGUUGCAUCCACCUAUGAUCUCACAUUAUUAUUAGACGGCAUAUGUCUACAGCCCUGUUCUCUAACUGGAUCCUGGAGGCACUCUCACAGUACAAACAAUACCAAUCAUGUCUCCACGGCAUGCGGCUCAUUACCUCGCAGAUCUGCUCCGUCGCAGACCCCCAUUCCCGUGCACGUGCCCAGGGCACUCCAACACAGCUUGCAGUGCCUUGGUUCCUGAUCCCCAGUAGCACACACUGUACCCUCAGCGCGGGAGAACAAGCUGGUGUACCAAGCUGGCUGAUAAUUUUAGCUCUUUAUCUAACAAGGCAGUUGACAUUGCUUGGUCAAUACACUGCCUACACUUUAAUCCACGGGCCUCCAGCUGAUGCCUGCAAUGCUUUGGCAAUUGGCCAACGGGUUAGGACGGUUAACAAGGCAGAAAAGCAGACGCUGGGAAACUUCAGUUGGGAUUUGGAGCUAAAUGGGAAGGGCUCUUUGGAGCAAGGGGGGAAAAGAGAAAGUAGAGAAUAUAAUAAAUCCUGCUUUUCUCUUCCAGCACUGCAGGCAGUGCCACAGAGCGUGCCUGUUAGACCUAGCGCCGUGGAGUUAUCUUUCCAUUGCAAUGAUUUAUUGUGUGCGCCUGGCUUCUGUCCUAAGCCAUCCAUUUAAGUUCCAAUAAACUUCACUCAGAAAGGUUAAAAGUCAAAGAAAAUUAUCUGCUGAGCUGACGAACGUCGAGUGAAGCCUGCAAGAACAAGCAGCUUACUGCAUAAAUGAGAGUCCUUUUGACCUUUUGACUGCGAUCUGGGAGCAUGUGCAGAAAAAUGAAAGGACCUGACAGUCAUCAGAGCAGGGCAGGAGCCUGCGCAUGUGAACGGGCAUGUGAAUGGCAGCAACAGUUAGACUCAACCCCCGAGGGCCCAAACAUUAGGAUGGCUUGAAGAGAGAGUCGCUUUCUCUCUCAUUUAGGGCAUUCAUUCCCCUUUAUGUUAACUGGCACGUGAAUGUUAGGCUACAGCAUCACGGGAAAUCAGCUGCAGAGGAAAUCCAUGUAGACUGCUCUCAUUUCAUCUGCCUGCCCUGUCACAGUAGGUACCAGGCUCCUAUGUGGCUUAUCGGGAUUCACUUAUGAGUGGUCCUGGUUGCAAGCAGCAUUUUAGCAAGGUUCGCAGAGUAAGGAGCCAACCGAAAGCCCAGCAAAGGCAAUGGAAGGUUUCAAGGAGCCUUGGCUCAAUCCGCAACUGAGAUCAAAUGGGACCUCAAGCUCCAGUUAAGUAAUCUGAAGAAACAGGACUAGUUGUGAAGAGUAUAAAAAGGGAUUUUUCAAGGAGGCUGCCAGACUGACAGGUCCCUGUGGAUCUCCUUGGGUGCAGCAAUCCCAGCUCUGCAGCAAUCCCAAAACUGCCACAGCAAAACAAGCCCGCUCAUUCCUGCUCCGCCCCCCCCCCCCAACACACACACACACCACCCCCCCCACUGAAAAAAAUGCCAUGUGGUCACCAUUACAUUAGUGCUGCCCAAGACGGGGGUCCUUAGGGUAUCCCUGGGAUUGCCCCAGGAGCCCCAGGCCAUUUUUCCAGGACGAUGUGCAUGUGGAAUAGAAACAAGUGGGCAAGGUUUGGAGCUUCGGCCAGUCUAAAGAUUGCUAAGGACGCUGGUAGAAACGUAGCAUCAUAGAAUUGUAGAAAAUCAGGGUUGGUUGGAAGAGACCUCAGGAGGUCACAUCUAAUCCAACCCCCGGCUCAAAGCAGGACCACCCCCAACUGUCUCAGCCCAGGCAAGGCUUUGUCCAGCCGGGUCUUAAAAACCUCCAAGAACAGAGAGUCCACCACCUCUCUGGGUAGCUUGUUCCAGUGUUUCACUACCCUGCUAGUGAGAACAUUUUUCCUUGCAUCUGACCUUAACUUCCCUUGCUGCAACGUACUCUUUAGCUCCCAAGCCAACCCCACCCAUGAUGGUUAGCGUCCCCGCAGAGGGGCUUUCUCAAAAACACUCUAAUUACAUUUACAGCUAGUGGGUCAGUGCUUUUAGUAAGGACGGCAUGUUCACAAUCAUCUCCUUAUGUUUUCCCUGUCCUGUGGAUAGAAAUCUUGCCAGUCCCUUUAUCAACCAUAUCGCCUUCACAAGCAAAACUAUUUACCCAAAAACUAAAACAAAGGUUAGUCUAGAUCAGGGAGCUCACUUUAGAGCGGUACCCGUUCCCAAAGUUAAUAAUGUAUUAUUCCUAUUAAAACUAUAUUAAUUUUAGAGUUACUUGUCUUAGCUUUCAACUUGCUUUUAUAUGAAUAAUGUUUUUGUUCCUGAGGUCCAGAAACUGAUGUUCAAGUUUUCAAAUGCUGCCUUAUAAUCGCUAUGAACAAUAAUCAGAAAGAAUAUAUUCUAAAUACAUGUUUGAAUACUAUAUAUGUAUAUUUGAAUACUAUAUAGAAAUGGUUAUACAAUAUAUACACUCUCCUAAGGCAAAUAUUUAAAAAAUAAUAUGCUAUCUUAAUAUUUUCUUUGUAUAUAUUUAAUGAGUAUGCUAUUAAAUGGAAGAGAUUUUGUACA